GGUCAAGCGAUUAAGCGCACACGGUGGAUGCCUUGGCAGCCAGAGGCGAUGAAGGACGUUGUAGCCUGCGAAAAGGCUCGGUGAGGUGGCAAACAACCUGUGACCCGGGCAUGUCCGAAUGGGGAAACCCACCCAGCACAANAGCCCUUAAGCAGGUGACUGGUUAGACGAACGGUCUGGAAAGUCCGGCCAUAGCGGGUGAUAGCCCCGUAGUCGAAAACCUGAUCCUGUGAAAUCGAGUAGGUCGGGGCACGUGAAACCUUGACUGAACAUGGGGGGACCAUCCUCCAAGGCNGCGUACAAGCAGUGGGAGCCGACUUGUUCGGUGACCGCGUACCUUUUGUAUAAUGGGUCAGCGACUUAUAUUCAGUGGCGAGCUUAACCGUAUAGGGGAGGCGUAGAGAAAUCGAGUCUUAACUGGGCGACCAGUCGCUGGAUAUAGACCCGAAACCGGGCGAUCUAUCCAUGGCCAGNGCUGUGGAUCGGAGUGAAAGGCUAAUCAAGCUCGGAGAUAGCUGGUUCUCCUCGAAAGCUAUUUAGGUAGCGCCUCACGUAUUACCGCCGGGGGUAGAGCACUGUUUCGGCUAGGGGCCCAUCCCGGGUUACCAACCCGANNGCUAACGUCCGUCGUNNNNAAGUGGGAAACGAUGUGGGAAGGCAUAGACAGCUAGGAGGUUGGCUUAGAAGCAGCCAUCCUUUAAAGAAAGCGUAAUAGCUCACUAGUCGAGUCGGCCUGCGCGGAAGAUGUAACGGGGCUCAAACCAGAUNCAAUAUUCCCGUACCGGAUGUGGUUGCGAUGGGGGGACGAAGAAGGCUAGGUGAGCCAGGCGUUGGUUGUCCUGGUGAAAGUCAGUAGGCUGAGAGCUUAGGCAAAUCCGGGCUCUCAAGGCCGAGAGACGAGACGAACGGACUACGGUCCGGAAGUCAUCGAUGCCACGCUUCCAGGAAAAGCCUCUAAGCUUCAGAUCACAUGCGACCGUACCCCAAACCGACACAGGUGGUCAGGGUGAGAAUCCCAAGGCGCUUGAGAGAACUCGGGUGAAGGAACUAGGCAAAAUGGCACCGUAACUUCGGGAGAAGGUGCGCCGGCGUAGCGUGAAGAGACUCGCUCUCCUAGCGCGAACCGGUCGAAGAUACCAGGUGGCUGCAACUGUUUAUUAAAAACACAGCACUCUGCUAACGCGUAAGCGGACGUAUAGNNNNNNNNNNNNNNNNNNNNNNNNNNNNNNNNNNGUAGGAUAGCUGGGAGGCUUGGAAACCGUGACGCCAGUUGCGGUGGAGCCAACCUUGAAAUACCAGCCUGGCAUCAUUGGCGUUCUAACUUCGCACCGUGAUCCGGUGUAAGGACAGUGUGUGGUGGGUAG
rnacentral:rRNA from 1 species